rnacentral:lncRNA from 1 species
UCUAAGAUUGGAUGAAGGAGUAUUAAGGCGUUGAAGACAGCACUUGUAAUUUGAAGGCAGCUUGUAUAUUGAUGUAAUUGCUCCAAAGGAGAGGAGUUUAUAUAUAUAAAAUUGUUACCCUUAUAUUUCAAACUUGAUUGAGUAUUUAGUGACAGCCAGAAGCCCAGCGCUUUCUUGAGGCAAACUCUCGCUACCCCGACACCGUAGUCAAUGAAAAUCCAUCUAGUAUUCCACGUGUCUCUUCUUGAACC